CUAUUUUUUGUAACACGGCUGUGGAUUCUUUGCAUUGAUGUGAAAAGGUUGACAUCAUCUAAAAGUUCGAAAUAUUAUGCAAGUAUGAUGGCAAAAUGAAAAUCAUUCAAAAAUGAAAACACUCGCUUUUUUUUGUUUUUCUAAAAGUGUUUAUUAAAUGCUUUCAAGAGAUUUGGUCCACUUGAGUAUUUAUUAACUUCCAACCAGGGAGGAGAGAAAACAAAUUUGAUAAAACAUAAAAACCAGGAAACAAAUGUACUGAUUUAAAAAAAAACAACAAAAACCAAA